UUUGAGACAGAGAGAAGAGUGUGUGAGGAUAGAGGCAGAGAUGGAAAUUAUGCAGCUACAAACCAAGGAGCUCCUGGAGCCACCAGAAAGUGGAAGAGGCAAGGAAUGGAUUCUCCUCGAGAGCCUUUAGAGAGAGGAUGGUCCUGGUACGGUAGGAGAAUUGAAGGAAAGGUGAACGUGGACUGUCUGGAGGGCAAGGCCUCCAUGGAGGUGGGAAGGAUGCUCUACUGCAUGGUAAAGGAUUAGAAUAGGGCACCUCUGGAAGAGUACUCUGGCAAAGAAAUAAAAAAUUUCCCUUGCCUUGGAGAAAUCAGUUGAGGGUCUUGGGAAUGGGUUCAGGGUGAAGUCAGCAUGAAGCACAUUGGUCUCUGAUUGCUGCUGAGUCCCACAUCUUUCAGGACAGCAGAGCACUCCCAGGUCACUGCAAUGUGAGUUUCAGAAAAAUGCACACUAGUCAAAAGACAUUCCAUAUAUUCAGCCAUUGCAAAUGAAGCAGAAAAAAGUUGCUAACAAAAAAGCGUGUUACUAUUUCUGCCUUCUAGGAGAAUGGCAUAAUAUAUUUUUUCCAAGGUAAUGAUUCUAUGGCUUUGAAAUAGCACUGAUGGGACUUUUGAUCGAGAAAAACAAAACUUCCUGGGCAUGUUGAGGAUGAGUCAGGAUGAGACAGGGAUACUAUUUUACUGCUUUGAAUAAUAAAGGAAAAAAGAUAGAGGCGGCUAAGGUCUGUGAAUGGAAAGGGAAGUGGGGUGUGAGGAGGAUGGAGUAAGAGUGAGAGGUCGUAAGAACAUGGAGGGAGACUGUUCGAUCAAUGGAGGAAUAUGGUCCUGGGAGAUUCCUUGUAUUCAAGAAUAGCCAAUACAUGUCUACCUUUAACUGGUAUUGGAAGAAAGUUGUUUCCUGCUCUGUAUUGUAAAUACUCUCUAUUACCCUCAAGAUGUCAGUAAAAUUCUACACACAGCAAUCUUGUGUUAGAGAUGCUUUUGGAAUUACAGAAAAACCCUGCUAUCAAGUGGUGGGGAAGUGGAUGGCAAGAGGAUGUCUGUCAUAGAAACUGGGGAUAGAGGGGCUGGCAAUGGCAGAGAUGCAGGUGGAGUGGACUGAUUCAGGGGAGAGGCAGACCUGAGGGAGGGGCUGUGGCCUGGGAGCUUGAUCUAGGUAUUAAAAAGAGGACUCAUCACAGAAGAAUGGGGAUCAUUCAUACUGAGGGUAUGUGGGCUUCUAAGUAAAGUUAGAUGUGCUCAGGACUGGGGUUUUGGUGGGUAGGGUUUGGGUGUGCUUAACUGAGGCAGAUUUGCGAGCUUAUUUUACAAACCGCUGAGUUCAUUGCUAUAUGUGCUCAACUUAACACUUUGGUAAAGCACCUGCCCUAUAUUUAGAAUAUUCUCACGAGGCUGUGUGUGCCUGUGUUUGGAGGGUGCAUAUUAAGGAUGGAGAAAGUGGAAGGUAACUAUUCCAAUUAGAAAAUGCCCUGAAACACAUGCUUUGUGGAAAACUACGCAAGAAGACUGAUCCUGGUGGAGCAGAACUAUGAUCUCAAUUGAACAAGGAACAUAGAGAAAUGGAAAGGCAGAGUGACAAAGGUAUUGAUUCAGUGGGAGCCAUUGAAGAUGACUGCAGAAGGAACAGAAAGUUAUAACCCAGGAAUAUCCCAUUCAGUAUUGUAUCUGAAGUCAUUUUGAGAAGAGAAAAGUGACUGGUUUGAAUCUACUUCAUCAAAACUAAUCAAAGUGGUAAUUGAUGUUAUUAUGUGUGUUCAGUCUGCCAUAUUGCCAUAAUUAUUAUUCUUAUUUGUUAUUCUUCUUAGCCAUAAAGGUUUUAAAUAUCCAGUAAAAGGUAAGGGAGAAAUAUCAUCCAAGGCUGAGGUUUCAUUUCACCCAAGGCUGUCAAAUUUGUGUGAGCGUAAGUUAACACAAAGUUAAAUAUUACUGUUUUAGUGAUUAUAGUGAUAUGCUGAACAAGGGCUACUUUGGGGAAAAGAGAGCCUGCUUGUGUAUAGAGUGCUUCACUAUGUCUUCCCACAUGAUUAGAUUGAUGUCUGGGUUUACUAUUCCUUCUGAGGCCUGAGAGAAGAUUAGAUCACUCAUUCCCAACUGGUCAUUUCUCUCUGUGGAUGGGAGAAUCAGUGCUAAUUGAUACUUUUUAUAUAUUUAAUUACACUUAAUUACUUCUGUCUGGCUGCCCUGAAACCAAUAGGAGGAAAACAGUGUUCUACAUGCAAAUUUUCUAACAUAAACAUUUCUUAACCUUAUUUGCUUCAAGAUUGGUCCAAAUAUAGGAUCUUUAAGAUAAAAGCUGUCUAAAGUGGUUUCUUCUCUGUAUUUUGGUCCUGUCUCUGGAGUCCCUCUCUCUGGAAAUCAUUUCUGAGAUUUCUGUGAUAGGGAAUUUGCUCAUUUCCUACUUCCCUGGCACCCAACUCUUCUGUAUUAGGUCUUAAUAUAUUUAUUUCCUAGUCUUUUUGUUAGCAUGCCAAAAUAAAUCCAUAACCUUUGGAUCUAUCUUUCUCCCUUUGAACCAUCAGACACAGUAUUUUGGUCACAGUGCUCUUCACGAUGGCUUUGAGAAUAUCACCCCCCUUUCAAAAGAAAAAUGCUUUCUGUUUUUGUUUUUCUGGAUGAAAUUUCCUACCUGGUCCCAGCAUGCUGCUGCCCGUUUCCUGCUCUUCCCUAUGUGCCAGUCAAGCUGUUUUAUUUGACCUCCCCUGAUAUCCUGCAUUUUAUCCAUCUGGAAUGUACUCUUUCACUCCUCUUUGUCUCUUUGAAUCCUAGCACCUCUCAAGGGACAGAUCCUACCUCUCCUGCUCUGCCUCCCCUGACCACUCCAAGUCUGAUGAGACUUUUGCUUUCUUUAACAUCCUAGGAGUUUAUUGUCAAGUACAUUGAUUUGGUAAUCUCGAGAGUCAACCUAGGGAAUUCAAUAGAAAGGAGGCCUUGGGAAAAAACUUCCAGUAAAAACUCUCUGCUACUUACAGAUAUAAAGAGUUCAGGUAUGCUUAUUAAUCUUCAUUGAUUCUCCGUUUUUUUUUUUAUUGCUAAAAUGGAGAAAAACUACUCUGUCUACUCUUCUUACUUAUCAUGAGGAUUAUGAAAUGUCAUGUAUAUGUAAAAGUCCUUGUAAUCUGGAAAGGCCUGUACAAGUGUAAAUUAUGAUAUCUGCUGUUAGAGAUCUGUUAUUGAACCGGCUCACUAUCAAAACCUUCCUUUAUUAUUUAAUGUCUCCCAUAUCUAUGUUUAAUCAGUAUAACCCAGCCAGGGUGCAAAUAUAGUGACACCACAUAAUAUUUUUCUAAUUAAUUGCUUGACUGGCUACUCUCUCCCCACCCCACCACCAUGCCUACCAGGAUUAACAGGAAGUCUGUUACCUCCCUCUUGGAAUUCUCCAAUGCCCACCUUCUCCAGUUGUUUAACAACUAAAGGUUUACUCAGGUCCCAAAGGCAAGUCUUGUUUUUAAAAGAAAGGCAGAGAAAGGACUAGAAGUUCCAGUGAGUCCAGUGUUGAACAUUGGUUUCUCCCAGCUUGGUAGACACUUCUGCAUUCAGAAAUAAUUCUCUUGGCUGGACAUGGUGACUCAUGCCUGUAAUCCCAGCACUUUGAAAGGCUGAGGCAAGAGGAUCAC